UAUAGGGUGUUUUUAUAUCCACAUUUUUAUAGUAAGACAGACAGACUUUGAAAGUAUUUAAGAGAGGUAGUAACAUUCAACUUAUAUUUUUAAAAGAUCAUUCUCGUAUAGAAAAUCAAUUGGAGGGAAGUGGAAGGGAAAUUGGGCAUUUAAUUUAAGAAGAAAAUUGCAGAGCCAGUAGUAGGAGAUGAUGACAUGUUCUAUGGUGUUAAAAUAGAGGUGGAGAGAACGGGAAAGCAACAUUUUGGAGAUAUACUUCAGAGACAUUGGUGGCAUAUUGCAUUUUGAUAAUGAUGGGUGUGAAGAGGAAGUGACCCAACAUGCUGUUUGAGUAACAAAAUAGGUGGAGAUUCUGAAGUCUGGAGGAAGAGAAAGAUUUGGCAGACACUUGCAGACAAGGAUUCUUACAUAUAUAUGAAAAAAAAAAAGGAUUUGGGAGUCUCUUCUGAUCUAUAUACAAGAAAGAAUGGAAGACAAAUGAUGGAGAACUAAACUGAAUGCCCAAGAGAAAAAUCUACAUUUCAAAAUCUGAAUAUAUUCCUAUUCCAAAUGAAUGUGUUGCCAACAACCUUUAAGGAUAAUUCACAUCAGCUGCAAAGGAAAUGUGAUUAUAGCUUGUAUAAUGGUGGCUUCAAUCACAUAUCCAUUGGUCUGGAAAAAAGUACAUUUUUCUAAGCAACAUUUGCCCUGCCAAGUAAUGCCUGCAUUCUCAUCCAAAUGCUGAGUCUGAGACAAGAUAGAAACUUGCCUAUCAAAAUGAAAUCAAAGUUGAAAACAGAAGCCAAAAUCUGGAGUAUAAGUAAUCACCUUUUUUUCUUAAAUGUUC